AGGCUGGCUCACACAUGCCAAUGGUGUCUGCUCCGUGAUGGGCAUCAGGGGCUCCCCGGUACCCCUUCCCAAGCUGCACCCGGGGCCUCGUGGUGCCUGUCUGGAGCUCUCGUUGAGAGGGGAGCUUGAGCACACGCUGCUGCAUGCUGGGGUCUGCCUUGGGGCCAUCCUCCAUCAAGGAGGCUGGUGAACCUGCUAACUCGCCCAUUCCUCCAGUUUAAGGAGUCAGCCCUGAGAAAACAGUCUUUGUACCUCAAGUUUGACCCGCUCCUAAAGGACAGCCCUCAGAGACCAGGGCCUGUGGCUCCAGAGACCAGCAGUGCACAGGAUGUGGCCGUGCCUUCCUCAGGAAACUUGCCAGAGGCGAAGCUCGUGGAACUUGACUUCCUGGGACCCCCAGGUGCUCCCGUAAGUGCUCUUCCCCUUGUGAUGCAGAGAGAAGACUCUGGUUACGGGCCUGAUGACACGAGUGGGUGCAGCACCCCUCCUUGGCAUGGGGUAGGGGGAUUCCCUGCUGCCCUGGGAGCCCCUGGCCUCUGAGGACCUAUCCUCCCAACAGUAGGGUAGAGGUGGGGGUGGCUCCCAAAAGAACAUAUGGCUCAGCUUGUCGUCCCCCCACAGAUGCUGGAUCCCCCUCCCUGUGUCUUUGGGCCUGGGGGGCCACCACUGUCCAUGGGCUCCAUCGUGGACGUGUUGCAGUACAGCCAGAAGGACCUGGAUGCAGCGGUGGAGACUACACGAGAGGAGAAUGUGCUGCUGAGGAGCCAGUGUGAGACGCUGCGCGCCAGGAACCUGGAGAUGGGGUAAGGCUCGCAGUGCUCACCGGGCGGCCUGGGUGCAUCUGCCGCGGACGGCACAGGCGGCCAUGGGCACCUCC
rnacentral:lncRNA from 1 species